rnacentral:misc_RNA from 1 species
GAUGAAGAACGCAGCGAAAUGCGAUAAGUAGUGUGAAUUGCAGAAUUCAGUGAAUCAUCGAAUCUUUGAACGCACAUUGCGCCCAUUGGUAUUCCAAUGGGCAUGCCUGUUCGAGCGUCAUUUGUACCCUCAAGCUUUGCUUGGUGUUGGGCGUUUGUCUUUCGAGACUCGCCUUAAAAAGAUUGGCAGCCGGCAUACUGGUUUCGGAGCGCAGCACAAAUUGCGGUCUGUUCCUGAAUGUUGACGUCCAUGAAGCCCCCAUUAUCACUUUUGACCUCGGAUCAGGUAGGGAUACCCGCUGAACUUAAGCAUAUCAAUAAGCGGAGGA